rnacentral:lncRNA from 1 species
UGGAAUUUGAGCCCAGAUCUGCCUGACACCCAAGCCUGUGUCUCCUGCCCCACGAGACGGACAGGUUCACGGCUGAAGGCGAGAGGGCCGUUCUGCAUCCCUCUUCCUCCUGGGAGGAGCACAUCCCACUGCUUUGGACUGAGAUUUCCCCUGAACCCUGCCGCCUCCCCAGAGAAGAGCCUUGCUCUGCUGGCACCCCCUCCUGUUGCUGGGUCUCUGCUGCCCACUGAGCUGCUGUCCCCCUCUGUGACCUCGGAGCACGGCACACAGCCCUGUAGCUGAGGAAGCAGAGGGCUGGGAAGGGGAAGUCACACGGCUAGCAAGGGGCACAGCUGAGGCUGGGACUCCAGGGCCUCCAGGGCCACCUCCUUCCUCCUACACCACUGUGGCGCGAGGUCUCCUGCUUGCUUCCUCUGGUGACACACACAGGAGGCAGGGGCCCAUACUGCAGGGGGCUGCUAUACGGCUGUGUGCAAAUAUUUUGUAGGCAUGUGUCCAAGAGUAAGUGCUCGCUUGGGUCACAGGAGAGAUGAAUAGCUAACUUUCAAAGGAAACACCAAAAUUUUUUCCAAAGUGACUAUGGCCCUUUACAUCCCCAUGGCCGGGUCAGAGCACCCCAGUUGCCACGUCCUUGCCACCAAUCGGAAUGGUCAGUCUUUGAAAGUUAGCCAUCUCAGUGGAUGAGGGGAUGUCUCAGGGAGCAUUUUUGCAUGUAUUUAUCGGCACUUGUGUGUCUCCUUUUGUGAAAUGUAUGUUCAAAUCUCUUGCCUUUAAAAUUCUUGUUGGUUUUCUUAAUACUGAAUUUUAAAAGCUCUUUUUAUAUUCUAGACACAAGUCCUCUGUGUAGUAUAUGCCUUGCAAAUAUUUCCUCUUCAUACGUGCCUGGACUUUCCAUUUUCUAAUGGUACUAUUUGCAGAAUGAAACUUUUUAAUUUAAAUUUUUUGUGUUUGGUAUCAUGGAUUGAACCCAGGGACACUCUGCCACUGAGCUACAUCCCCAGCCCUUCUUAUUUUUUAUUUUGAGACAUGGUCUUUCUAGGUUGCUGAGGUUGACCUCAAACUUGUGAUCCUCCUGCUUCAGCCGCUGAGUCUCUGGGAUAACAGGGGUGUGCCACGACACACCUGGCCAAAAUUUGUCAAUUCUGAUGAUGUCCAAUUGAUCUUUUUAAAGAAAAGGUUGUAUGAUUUUGUGUUCUAUCCUAGAGUCCUGUUUUCACCCCAAGGUAGCAAACAACUGUAUUUUCUUUUAGGGGCUUUAUGCUUUUAGGUUUAUGGUCCUAUGAAACAUUUUAAGGUAAUUACUGUGUUUGAUAUAAGGGUUGACACUUAAUUUUUUAUAUAGGUAUCUAGGUGGCAGAGCAUCCAAAAGCCGUCCUUUCAACAAAAUUUCUACCCAUUACACUUUUGUCAAUAAUUAGCCAUACGUAAGGGUCUGCUUCUGGGCUCUAGUCCUCCAAAUUAUACAUAUGCAUAUUUCAUUUUUUAUUUUAGACCAAUAUCAAACUGUCCUUAUUAGUGUAAUUUUUAUAAAAUGACUUAAAAUCACAUAGGGUCAAUUCUCCAACUUUGUUUUUUUUUAAUUGCUUUUUAAAAAAUUGCUUUGAAUAUUCCAAGUCAUUUAUUUCUAUUUCCAGAUGACUUUUAGAAUUAUAUUGUCAGUUGCUAUCAAAAUUCAUGUUGGGAUUUUAUUGCGAUUGUGUUGAAUCGGUUUGAGGUCAUUGUAAUCCAACAUGCCAUACUCUCAAAUCCAUGAACAUGGUAUAUCUGUGUUUACCUAUGACUUUUUUAUUUUCUUACUUUACAGUAUAGAUGUCUUGAACAAAUUUUGUUAGAUUUGUUCCAAAC